rnacentral:tRNA from 1 species
UAGAGAGUGGUGUAGUGGGAGCACUAGAAGUUUUGAUCUUCUUAGUAGGGGUUCGAGUCCCCUUUCUCUAG